rnacentral:rRNA from 1 species
GCGUAGCAAUACGUCAGCGGCAGACGGGUGAGUAACGCGUGGGAACGUACCUUUUGGUUCGGAACAACACAGGGAAACUUGUGCUAAUACCGGAUAAGCCCUUACGGGGAAAGAUUUAUCGCCGAAAGAUCGGCCCGCGUCUGAUUAGCUAGUUGGUGGGGUAACGGCCCACCAAGGCGACGAUCAGUAGCUGGUCUGAGAGGAUGAUCAGCCACAUUGGGACUGAGACACGGCCCAAACUCCUACGGGAGGCAGCAGUGGGGAAUAUUGGACAAUGGGCGCAAGCCUGAUCCAGCCAUGCCGCGUGAGUGAUGAAGGCCCUAGGGUUGUAAAGCUCUUUUGUGCGGGAAGAUAAUGACGGUACCGCAAGAAUAAGCCCCGGCUAACUUCGUGCCAGCAGCCGCGGUAAUACGAAGGGGGCUAGCGUUGCUCGGAAUCACUGGGCGUAAAGGGUGCGUAGGCGGGUCUUUAAGUCAGGGGUGAAAUCCUGGAGCUCAACUCCAGAACUGCCUUUGAUACUGAGGAUCUUGAGUUCGGGAGAGGUGAGUGGAACUGCGAGUGUAGAGGUGAAAUUCGUAGAUAUUCGCAAGAACACCAGUGGCGAAGGCGGCUCACUGGCCCGAUACUGACGCUGAG